UAGACCCUACGGGGGGCAGCAGUGGGGAAUAUUGCACAAUGGGGGAAACCCUGAUGCAGCGACGCCGCGUGAGUGAAGAAGUAUCUCGGUACGUAAAGCUCUAUCAGCAGGGAAGAAAAAAAGUCUUUGGCUUUGGACGGUACCUGACUAAGAAGCCCCGGCUAACUACGUGCCAGCAGCCGCGGUAAUACGUAGGUGGCAAGCGUUGUCCGGAAUUACUGGGUGUAAAGGGAGCGUAGGCGGGAAAGCAAGUUGAAUGUUUAAGGUAUGGGCUCAACCUGUACAAGCGUUCAAAACUGUUUUUU
rnacentral:rRNA from 1 species